rnacentral:rRNA from 1 species
CUCUGUGACUCCUACGGGAGGCAGCAGUGGGGAAUAUUGCACAAUGGGCGCAAGCCUGAUGCAGCCAUGCCGCGUGUGUGAAGAAGGCCUUCGGGUUGUAAAGCACUUUCAGUUGUGAGGAAGGUGGUGUCGUUAAUAGCGGCAUCAUUUGACGUUAGCAACAGAAGAAGCACCGGCUAACUCCGUGCCAGCAGCCGCGGUAAUACGGAGGGUGCGAGCGUUAAUCGGAAUUACUGGGCGUAAAGCGCAUGCAGGCGGCCUGUUAAGUCAGAUGUGAAAGCCCGGGGCUUAACCUCGGAAUUGCAUUUGAAACUGGCAGGCUAGAGUCUUGUAGAGGGGGUAGAAUUUCAGGUGUAGCGGUGAAAUGCGUAGAGAUCUGAAGGAAUACCAGUGGCGAAGGCGGCCCCCUGGACAAAGACUGACGCUCAGAUGCGAAAGCGUGGGGAGCAAACAGGUUUAGAUACCCUGGUAG